UGUGACUGGUGUUCAGACUUGUGCCCCUGGGAGGGUUUCGGAUUCCAGAAACCAAUUAUAAUAACCCUGCCUCUUCUAGAAGUAGUAACGAAUAUGUAUUAGCCUAGGAGCAUAAAAACCAGCCGCCUUACGUAACAGGUGUGCGUCUUGGUGGAGCAGAGACUCCUGGAGCACCCAGCGCUGUUUGCUUGCCUCUAUUCGUUUAAUAAAUUGUAAAC